rnacentral:rRNA from 1 species
GAUGAACGCUAGCUACAGGCUUAACACAUGCGAGUCGAGGGGAAACGAUAUUGGAAGCUUGCUUCCGAUAGGCGUCGACCGGCGCACGGGUGAGUAACGCGUAUCCAACCUGCCCACCACUUGGGGAUAACCUUGCGAAAGUAAGACUAAUACCCAAUGAUAUCUCAAGAAGACAUCUGAAUGAGAUUAAAGAUUUAUCGGUGAUGGAUGGGGAUGCGUCUGAUUAGCUUGUUGGCGGGGUGACGGCCCACAAAGGCGACGAUCAGUAGGGGUUCUGAGAGGAAGGUCCCCCACAUUGGAACUGAGACACGGUCCAAACUCCUACGGGAGGCAGCAGUGAGGAAUAUUGGUCAAUGGGCGAGAGCCUGAACCAGCCAAGUAGCGUGCAGGAUGACGGCCCUAUGGGUUGUAAACUGCUUUUAUAAGGGAAUAAAGUGAGCCUCGUGAGGCUUUUUGCAUGUACCUUAUGAAUAAGGACCGGCUAAUUCCGUGCCAGCAGCCGCGGUAA